UACAGAGGUGGCAAGCGUUGUUCGGAAUUACUGGGCGUAAAGGGCGCGUAGGCGGUUCGUUAAGUCCUGUGUGAAAUCCCCCGGCUCAACUGGGGAACUGCACAGGAAACUAGCGGGCUUGAGUUCGGGAGAGGGAAGCGGAAUUCCGGGUGUAGCGGUGAAAUGCGCAGAUAUCAGGAAGAACACCAAUGGCGAAGGCAGCUCUCUGGGACGGUACUGACGCUAAGGCGCGAAAGCGUGGGGAGCGAACAGG
rnacentral:rRNA from 1 species